rnacentral:lncRNA from 1 species
GAGGGGCGGAAAUGGGGGAGGUGCCGCAGUACUGUUCCUGUUUGUCUUUGGUCUGUGGAAGAGCGGGCAAGCUGCCCAGGAUGACUGCGGGUUGUAAGAGACUGUUCUUUUAUAUCAUUUGACUCAAAGUUUGCCGAGGAGCAAGUCCAGGCAAGUCCUGGGCAAAGGUAGAGAAAUCUUCCGUCUGGAGGACACUGAUGGACGGGUCCUGGCUAAGCGUUGUGAAAUCCUCCAAGGAGCACAGAUGGACACGGCCAGGGGCAGCGAGAGAGAGAUGAGCUGCUGAUAACGGCCGGGAAACGGUCUUUGUGUGUGGGCUUACCUCGAGGAAGAUGGCCAUCUCAGGAGGUACGCACAGGGCUCUUGCUCAAGCACCCAGGGGUGUCAGUAGGCAGCAGAAAAUGGAGGAUAAAAGAGGGGCCAACAACCCCGACAGAUUGGGCGGGGUUUUCUGCCAUCUGAUCCUUCACCACGACGGACUGAGAGGGGUUUUCUGCCAUCAGAUCCCUCACCACGACAGACUGAGAGGGUUUUCUGCCGUCAGAUCCCUCACCACGACGGACUGAGAGGGUUUUCUGCCAUCAGAUCCCUCACCACGACGGACUGAGAGGGGUUUUCUGCCAUCAGAUCCCUCACCACGACGGACUGAGAGGGUUUUCUGCCAUCAGAUCCCUCACCACGAUGGACUGAGAGGGUUUUCUGCCAUCAGAUCCCUCACCACGACGGACUGAGAGGGGUUUUCUGCCAUCAGAUCCCUCACCACGAUGGACUGAGAGGGUUUUCUGCCAUCAGAUCCCUCACCACGACGGAAUGAGAGGGGUUUUCUGCCAUCUGAUCCUUCACCACGACGGACUGAGAGGGGUUUUCUGCCAUCAGAUCCCUCACCAUGACGGACUGAGAGGGUUUUCUGCCAUCAGAUCCCUCACCAUGAUGGACUGAGAGGGUUUUCUGCCAUCAGAUCCCUCACCAUGACGGACUGAGAGGGUUUUCUGCCAUCAGAUCCCUCACCACGACGGAAUGAGAGGGGUUUUCUGCCAUCAGAUCCCUCACCACAACGGACUGGAGAGGGUUUUCUGCCAUCAGAUCCCUCACCACGACAGACCAGUGAAGGGUUUCUGCCAUCAGAUCCCUCACCACGACGGACUCGAGGCUUUCUGCCUUCAGAUCCUUCUCUCCGGACCGUAUGCUGACGGACUUCCCUGGCCCUGCUACCUGAGACCUGCUGCUUCCUCCCUGACUUACUCUGCGGCUUCUUCCUGCACCCACCCGGUACUGCCCCCUCUGGUUGCCCAAGACCCCCCUCGCUCGCCUUCCCUUCCCCAUCGCCCCGAUCCGGAACAGUGUCCGUCCUCCCCUUUCUCCAUCUCCCUUAUUAACGUUUGUAAUAAACCGGUCGGACCAACAUUUGAACCGUUGUUUCUUAAUCUCACGCCGGGCAUACAUAUCUCAAAGAACCUCCUCUCCCUCCUACAAACUGGAGCAAGACAGGCACCUGAGCUGGGCCUCCUUUGGAGCGGCAGUAGCCCUAAUACCCUCGUGGCCAUACUCAGGUGUUUCCACAGCCACCAACCUCGUACCAACCCUCGUGUUCUUCGUACACGAGGCUGACUCCUCCUCCUCCUCCUUCACCAAGACACCAGGCUGGGAUCUCACCAGCGCAUCCCCCUCCUGCAAGCACC